rnacentral:misc_RNA from 1 species
AACGCACCUUGCGCUCCUUGGCAUUCCGAGGAGCAUGCCUGUUUGAGUGUCAUUAAUUUCUCAACCUUUCUAUUUUGUAAUGAAAUGUUGAAAGGCUUGGAUUGUGGGGGUUUGCUGGCUCUAGUAGUCGGCUCCUCUGAAAUGCAUUAGUGGAGACUUGUAGGCCAUCUCCCUUGGUGUGAUAAUUAUCUACGCCUUGGUUGACUACAAAAGCUUUGCUUUCUAAUCGUCGCAAGACAAUUAUCAAAUUUUGACCUCAAAUCAGGUAGGACUACCCGCUGAACUUAA